AGAGGACCGCGCGCGCAGAGCUUGGACCAGGGGCGCGCGAUUGGAGCAAGCGGACACCUGGGGCAGAGCCGGGCUCGGGGAGAAGCUCGGCCGGACUCCAGAGCUGGCAGCUCGGCGCGGCGUGGAGAGCAGGGAGGCGGGCGCGCGCCGGGCAGGAAGGAGCUCCAAUCGGGUGCCAUGGAUUGCGGGGCAGAGAAGAAGACGCGGCGCCACGGAGAUCCGAACUGCGACCGGGACGUGCGCCAGGGAGCUCGGCCGAGCGCCAUCGGGGCGAGCCGAGGGAGAAAGAAAGGCAGGGCCGAGCUGAGGACUUGGCCGGGACGCGACGAUGGGAGCUGCCAUGGACGAGCUCACGGCCGGCGAGCAGAAGGAGCGUGCGCGAGAACCCGGCCGGACUCGAGGAUGAGCGAGCGAGCUGGACCGGACACCGGAAUGGCUGGGUGCACGGGGAAGAAGAAGAGGAGGGAGGAGCAGCGAACUGCGCUAGUGAGCAGAGGGGAUGAGAUAAGGCCGAGCGUCGGGGGAGAACGGUGGCGGAAUCUUCACCGGCGGUGAGCGGCGGCCAAAAAAUAUCACGCAGUCAGGUACGGUGGCUGGAUUUUCCUCUAGAAGCUGGAAGAAUGUCGUGCGGGAGAAGACGACGAGCGGCUAGAGGAUAAGGAGCUGCUGUCCGUAGAAAUAUACUGGGCAGAGGGCGGCGAGAAGAUGAGACCAAGAGAAAUAUUCAGAGAGCCGUAAGGGAGAUAUUGGUACAUGAAAAGAUAAGGCUUGAGAGAAAUGGAUUUUUCUUUUUCUACAGCCGAACACUUGCAUCAAAGGAAAAAUGAUCGUCUCCUUUUUUUUGUUAACACGAAUAGAUAUGUAUUCUAGGGUUAGAGUUUAAAAGAGACACAAAUAAGUUAGAUCAGAAUAUUAUUGGAUAUAAAAAGUUAGAUAGAAUUUCAUUUGGUGAAUACUCUCGAAAUUAUAUGCAUUUUUUUACCAGUUAUUUAUACCCGAAGUUUUGGAUCCGGCAAGAAACGAUAACCCGAAUCGAACUGAUUUCAACUUCGAUAUUGUAGUCAGCUUUGGUUUACAUCGAAGUCGGACAAAAAUUCAUCUGGUAAGGAAUAGAUUAAAUUACCAAGGUUCAAGUUUUAGCCUGAUGUUACCAGAUUAAGCUAAACGAUAUUGGAUUCAACUAGGAAGCGGCUCGGUUAUAAUUCUACGCCUGGUUUUUCUUGGAUUCCGGGUGUGGUCCGAUUUUAAUUUUGCAUUAACACUUUUGUCGUCGAGUUCAAAUUAAUUUGCCCGGGAUAAAAAUCAUCCGAGUGGGUCGAGCUUCCAAAUUCGUAUUCGCGCGAGCGAUGACUUUUAAAUAAUCAUCGGACGCACCAAUUUUCAGAACAAAUAUGUUCCGAACAUCACGAAAAUUUUAGGAAGAGCCCGGAUAGAUAGAAAUAAAAACGAUGUCGCGCUCGCGACCGACGAAACAGAUGCGAUAUUAAAAUCGCGAUAGGCAAAAAUAAUUAGACCUUAGUGUCCGUCUUAUUCACUAAUCUCACGUGCUUAAAUCCGUACUCGUUGUCGAGCGGAAUAUAAACACCUGGGGUGUUACAGCCCUCCCCCCUUAAAAGAAUCUCGUCCCGAGAUUCGGAGCGAAAGACUUUUAAGAGUAGAGAAGCAUGUAACCCAUGUCCAUAUCAGUGAUAAUCAUGAGACAGUUCCCGACAAGGAUGAGUGUCUCAGAAGGUUGUUUCUCUAGUGGACAUAGCAUGAAUCGCCUUAGGCUAAUUUAGAGAUGUCCAUCAAUAGAGAUGAUGUCUGCCAGAAGAACACAUAAGGUUCCAUGUGUGCAGUUUGCUUUUUCUGAUGACACUGUACUAUCUGAGUCUGUUGAGCAAGUGACUGAUAUGCGAUUUUACCCAAACAGAAUCAGAUGCAACCUCUUGGGUACAACACAUAGAAAGAGGUUUACCAACAAGGGGUCACGGUAAGUUCAUAGCACACGAGACUGGUGUGAAUGUAAAAUAACAUCACAGUUAACCCGUGUUAGCCAGAGAAUCCAUGUCCAUGAAAAAAUGAUAGAGACUCGAAAAAUCACUGGUGAAGGGAUCUGUAAAUGCUGACUUCAUGUCUAAUCCAUUUUAUCAAACACUAGGUAGGGUUCAACUUGAUCACAUAUGCUGGAAAAGCACACGUGAGACGAUCGAGGCCUGACUAGGCGAUAAUUAGGUGGUUAUUAGUCGAUUUUAACUUGAUCUUUGUAAGAACUUUCUUAGGAUGGGUUGAACCAAAGUGAGUUUAGACAACUCGAUAAAACGAUCUCUAAACUCAGCCUUCGUUCAUUGGGCAGUUACAAGUUAGUCAAAACCAACUUGUUGAACUACUUUUGACAUUGAGUAGGUCCUCUCAGUACCAUCGGUAAGCCAAGGGUUGAGAGUUUACUCAGGUUAAUAGGAGAUUUUGCACUUGGGUAGGAAUCCAUUUGGUCAGUUUGUUCAUCUGUUUCUUCAGGCAAGAUGAACUAUUCACUUGAUUAGGAAAUACAUGGAUUAAUGAAAGAGCGAAUGAACAAACUCCUGCAUCUCAGCAGCAGGGAAAAUCAAUCUCCAUUUUGAGAGCUAAUUAGUUGUUUUUCAACACUAAAAAGCUCCUAGGCUUCACCUUUACACAAAGGAUGCAAAGGGAAUGUGUAUGUGUGAAGUCACUAUCAAAGUCAAGGAAAGAAACCACACAUGAAAGUGGUAUGCCUUUUUGAUCCAACAGAUAUGAUAGAUGUUGCUUGAUCACUUCGCAAACAACAUAAAUCAUUUCAAGGAAGUAGGGUACAGAAGAUAACAUAUCAGUGUAGUUCCAUAAUGGAUCAUGACUAGAGACCUUGAUACCAGCAUCUAACGAGUAGCACAGUCAUGUGUGCGCAUUCACAGGAGGCUCUCAGUUUCGCUGCGGCACCAUAAGUCAUUAACCAUGACACCAUCACCGAACUGGCGCCAAUAAUGAGUCCCACGUAGCGAAGACAGAUUGUGCCAAGAUAACACAUUGACAUAGUCUCAUAAUGGAUUACAAUUACUAACAGUGAUACCAGCGCGUGCCGAGCAGCACGACCAUGUGUGCGCACACAUAGAAGGCCCUCGAUUUCGUCACGGCACCACCAGUUUUAGUCAUAACACCAUUACUAGAUGUAACCAAUAAGAAAUCUCGCGCGACAUCAAUGGAUUGGGCAAGGGUGACAAUAUACAAAGAGACUCUACCUGUCAAAACGGUUACAAGUAGAGAACCAAAUAGACCAUGGCCCGAUGAAAUAAACAAGGCAUGGCCAUAACCUAAAUUUGAUGGAAAAAAGUACGAUGGGAGACUGUUAUCUCAGCCCAAGCAUAUUUCUAUGCCCAUCAUAGAGAUUACAAGGUCAAGGAUUAAGUUGGUAUGCCUUCGAUAGGUAUGGGAAAACCAAAGGCAUCAAAUUCAAGGAAAUGAUCGAACAGGUCUUUCCUGAGUUAGGUUGAAAAAGCAACAUGGCGAUCCUUAAGAACAGGCAAACUGGAAUAGAGACAUCAGCUUGCACAAAUCGAAUAAGGGCAUGGUCUAGGAUGGAGACAUGACUCGAAAUUCUUGUUUUAAGCUGGGUACACUUUAGGUCCAACAAAGUAAUUAUCUAGGCAUUUAUUUUUUUAUGUGUUUGGUCAUGGAGUGAUGACGGAAAAAUCAACUUUGGUCAUGGUUCACCAACUAAGAACAUGGCCUAGAUUUGGGUUUAGGCAAACAAGUCACUAACCUUCUAUCGACACAUCAAGCACAAGAACAAACAUCAUAUAAGACCUUAACAGGUUACCUAAGAAUGGAGGACAGCUAUCUCAUCGAAGUUCAUAAUACCACAUUACACCACAUUAUUUACAAUCAUUGGCUACUGGAAUAAAGAUGAGAGAAGCAUUUUGGGUGUAUAGGUGACAAACAUGAUGCAACAAUCAGGGUGCAUGCUCGUCUUAUUCGUCCUCAUGAGUUUUUGCCAACAUAAUGUGGCAAUAACGUUCUAUAUCGGUGGCAUACUUACGACUCUCACGGUAUUUUGCUAGUCGUCAACUACACAUACGUUUUCGAGGUUAGUGUACCUGCAGAAAAAUCCAUCAUAGCCUAAUUUCCCAAUGAUGCAGUUCACACAUGACAGUUUAUCACAGUUUAUACUCCAUAUAUUGCUAUAUGGAGGCCAGCUCAUCAUUAAGCGCCGAGCCAUGCAUAGGCGCCGUUGUCACACUUUAACCAUAGGGCAACUCAUUAUGGUAACUCACCUUCUUACCUGAGCGUAGGUGUGUCGUUACAAGUACAUUACACUUCUCAGUAUUCCCAUGUCUGUAUACCCAUACACAUUCAUGGGGUACUGAUUCCCAGAAAAGUAAAUACUCCACAUCGCAGCCUUCAUAUAUACAUAUGUGGAACAUGUACAUAAUCAAGCGCAACAAUUAAGCACUCCCCUAGACCGACGUUUGUUCGAUCAUGCUCUCACAUCUCACCUUACCUGAGCGUCGAUCCAUUCAAAAACUGAAUGGCCUCAAAAAUAACAAUACACAUGUAUGCAAUACCCACCCGGUUGUGGGUUAUGGUUUUCAAAUAAGCCACCUAAUAGUCCUUAACUUAGGGCUUAACAGAGGAUGUCGCUAGCAUUAUAGUUUUUCCAAGCUAUUUUUCAAAACCAAACAAUGUGUUUAGUUGAAAAUAGGUUUUCUAAAACCAAAACUUUUGUUUUGAAAAUAUGUAUGUGACUAUAUAUACUUAAUCCUGCUCCGAUACCAGCUGUGGCAGAACCUCCCAAGUUAUCGGGCCCACAUGCACCUGUCCUUGUCUCAAAGACCUCAGACAGCUAUGCAUGUGCACCAGAUAACUUAACAGGAUCCGUCCGAAUGUCUCAAGGACCUUGGAUAAACCACUUACAACCAGGACCGCAGGAUAAAGUAAAUACAAAUCACACACCAAUAAUUUUGCAGCGGAAAUCUUAUUAUCAAAUUUUUACAUUAUAUUUAUCGGAGUGAUUACAAAAGUAUAAGUUUGAAAUAUAUGCUAGCUCAAGUGACCAUCCUCAAUAGGAAGUAUAGAAGGGUUACUUAGACUUAUAAGAAGGCCGAGCCCACCGGCACUUAACACCAUCAAUAGCAGCACAAAACUAUAACCUGAAAAACAACAGGGAAUAAAACCCUGAGUACGGAAUUACUCAGCAAGACUUACCCGACUAAAAAAAAGACUCUCAAGGGUAUGCUGGCUAGAGGGAUUCAAGGUAUGACUUAUCAAAAAUCAAAGACUCUGUUUUGCAGAAGAGCUUACUAGUAGUAAAUCCUUAUGCCAAAAUUUUACUUCACCAGUUAAGUACUUUUCCUGAAUCUAGAUUUGUCUAAUCUAGAGCAUUCACUUGUCCUGGUCUAGCUUUCUUUUAGCCAAUUCAUAUUUCACUUGUCAACUACGAUGAGUGGUCGGAGGGUAGAGUCUCCAUUACCGAGGAGCAACGACGAUUCGAACCGAUUAUACCCAGCUGGGGAUCCCUAACCACACGAUAUAUGUAGCACUUAACCCUUGCAUAUGUCAACCGUUCCCACAGAUCCUCCACAACGUGAACCGGUCCGCGCUACCCGGGAGCACAGUACUCCUCCAUCCAGCCUCUAGCCAGGAGGGUACACGCUACUCCCACCAUCUCCCACGCCCAGUGCGCGGUUGUCUUUUCACGUAUGGAAUAGCCGGGUUUAGGCUUACCGGAGCAUAUGGCUAGUUGCAAGGUCUCCACCACAACAGGCCUACAUCGAACGGUCCUUAAUCGACACAGACGGGCGACCACGUCCGCUCAGCGUCUGGUCUAGAUGUAUUCAAACCAUUUUCCCAUUUUUGGUACCCGACAGGGGUACUCUUUUCCAAAUGAUAAACCCACUCCGGCCGAAGUGGAAUCAUCACCAUAAGUUUGCUUUGAUUUUUGAAACGAAAGGCCCAUAACCAAUGUGCCACAAUCAUUCUUUUUGAAAACAAAUGAUUUUUCAGUUUCUAAGCAGGGCUAAGCAUUAUCAGUUCUUUUUAUAAAACCGGGAUUCAGGAGUUUCCGAGGAAUGGUAAUGCAUCAAUUGUUUAUCACACAACUCCUAUCACCUAAUGCAUCAGAUAAGGUGAAAAGGCAUUUAAAACACAAGAAAGGGGCAAAUGCACCGGGGCUUGCCUGGGUAACACUAUGUUAGUGUUUGUUAGACGACAUCCACUUGACGAUCAUCCUUGUCCUAACACUUGAUCAGGCAAGUUCGUUCAUCAGCAUCUCCAUGCGGAGUAGCCCGCGCUUGGGGUCAACUUGAGUCAUCUUCCGCAUCACGUGAUUAAUUAUCGCACCUGAAUGAAAUGCAUUAUGCAUAUGAAUGCAUAUAGACAGGAAUAUCAUAAAUCUAAAUAGUGCUAUACGAUAGUGUAUUAAACACCUAGUGGCGAGGCGUUAUACAAUCUUACACGGAAACACUAGUUAUUAAUAUACGACUACGCACUAUAAAUAUGCUUCUUUAAGUUAAACAAACUUAACGCAAACAUCACGAGCAACAAAUUAUACACAUGAAACGCAAUUAGCCUACUCAACUCAUCAGCUAAUUAAUUAAAUUCUAAAAUUAUCCCUCAUUUUAUAAAUGAUACUACAUCGUUCACAAUUAAUCAAACAUUUCUUUAUCACACAGACCUACUAAUAUUCUACUCGGUAUACUAAUUUAGUUAAUUGACCGGAAUAGCGACAUAACUCGCUAUAACUGAAUCUGGCUCGAUACUCGCAAAAACCGCGAAGUCGACGAGAGUUUCGUGACUCACGCAAUUAAUCGAGCACCUUAAUGAGCAUCGCACUAGCACAUUAAUUUAUUUAUCGAUCGAACUAUUCUGAAUAAUUUAUCAGCUUACCGUUUCCACAGCUGACACGAAUCCGCGAGAUCGGUAGCGAUUUUCCGAUCUAGGAAAUUUGUCGAGCGAUUGGGGAAUAUCGCGCUGUUGGCUACGUCUUCAUUCGACGCUUGGGAUUUCUUGACGACACAACUUCAACGACGAUAUAGGAGGGUGGCAUAUAUAGAGCUGCACACACGACGCGACGAACUAAGUCGCGAGGUCGGUCGACAAGGGAUUUCAAGGAACACGAUGGUCAGUCGGCGAGCUGGCAAGUUCGGAUAGGGACGGCUGACGUGAGGACCAUGAUGAAUAUGAAAUUGAUGACCGACCAAAAUAUGAUUGGUGAGUUGAGAAACUCCGAUGAUUUGACGGCAGUCGCGACGGCGAAUAGGAGGACGCGCGCGUAAUGGGAAGAUCUCACGGCCACUAGAAUGAGCUGUGAUAUUCGGACUUGGCGACAACAACGAGCUGGAGCGUUGGCGAGCUUGAAAAUUCAAUGGCGAAAUCGGCGGCGAACAGAGAAACCGGCUACGCGCAGGGAGGAGAAGACCGGGCGCGCAGAGCUUGGACCAGGGGCGCGCGAUUGGAGCAAGCGGACACCUGGGGCAGAACCGGGCUCGGGGAGAAGCUCGGCCGGACACCAGAGCUGGCAGCUCGGCGCGGCGUGGAGAGCAGGGAGGCGGGCGCGCCGGGCAGGAAGGAGCUCCAACCGGGUGCCAUGGAUUGCGGGGCAGAGAAGAAGACGCGGCGCCACGGAGAUCCGAACUGCGACCGGGACGUGCGCCAGGGAGCUCGGCCGAGCGCCAUCGGGGCGAGCCGAGGGAGAAAGAAAGGCAGGGCCGAGCUGAGGACUUGGCCGGGACGCGACGAUGGGAGCUGCCAUGGACGAGCUCACGGCCGGCGAGCAGAAGGAGCGUGCGCGAGAACCCGGCCGGACUCGAGGAUGAGCGAGCGAGCUGGACCGGACACCGGAAUGGCUGGGUGCACGGGGAAGAAGAAGAGGAGGGAGGAGCAGCGAACUGCGCUAGUGAGCAGAGGGGAAGAGAUAAGGCCGAGCGUCAGGGGAGAACGGUGGCGGAAUCUUCACCGGCGGUGAGCGGCGGCCAAAAAAUAUCACGCAGUCAGGUACGAUGGCUGGAUUUUCCUCUAGAAGCUGGAAGAAUGUCGUGCGGGAGAAGACGACGAGCGGCUAGAGGAUAAGGAGCUGCUGUCCGUAGAAAUAUCCUGGGCAGAGGGCGGCGAGAGGAUGAGACCAAGAGAAAUAUCCAGAGAGCCGUAAGGGAGAUAUUGGUACAUGAAAAGAUAAGGCUUGAGAGAAAUG
rnacentral:lncRNA from 1 species